CCGCUGACUUAGCAUAUCAAUAAGCGGAGGAAGAACCAACAGGGAUUGCCCUAGUAACGGCGAGUGAAGCGGCAACAGCUCAAAUUUGAAAUCUGGCUCUUUUAGAGUCCGAGUUGUAAUUUGCAGAGGGCGCUUUGGCUUUGGCAGCGGUCCAAGUUCCUUGGAACAGGACGUCACAGAGGGUGAGAAUCCCGUACGUGGUCGCUGGCUAUUGCCGUGUAAAGCCCCUUCGACGAGUCGAGUUGUUUGGGAAUGCAGCUCUAAAUGGGAGGUACAUUUCUUCUAAAGCUAAAUAUUGGCCAGAGACCGAUAGCGCACAAGUAGAGUGAUCGAAAGAUGAAAAGCACUUUGGAAAGAGAGUCAAACAGCACGUGAAAUUGUUGAAAGGGAAGCGCUUGCAGCCAGACUUGCUUACAGUUGCUCAUCCGGGUUUCUACCCGGUGCACUCUUCUGUAGGCAGGCCAGCAUCAGUUUGGGCGGUAGGAUAAAGGUCUCUGUCACGUACCUCCUUUCGGGGAGGCCUUAUAGGGGAGACGACAUACUACCAGCCUGGACUGAGGUCCGCGCAUCUGCUAGGAUGCUGGCGUAAUGGCUGUAAGCGGCCCGUCUUGAAACACGGACCAAGGAGUCUAACAUCUAUGCGAGUGUUUGGGUGUCAAGCCCGAGCGCGUAAUGAAAGUGAACGGAGGUGGGAACCCGCAAGGGUGCACCAUCGACCGAUCCUGAUGUCUUCGGAAGGAUUUGAGUAAGAGCAUGGCUGUUGGGACCCGAAAGAUGGUGAACUAUGCUUGAAUAGGGUGAAGCCAGAGGAAACUCUGGUGGAGGCUCGCAGCGGUUCUGACGUGCAAAUCGAUCGUCAAAUUUGGGCAUAGGGGCGAAAGACUAAUCGAACUAUCUAGUAGCUGUCUGC
rnacentral:rRNA from 1 species